rnacentral:rRNA from 1 species
UACGUAGGCAGCGAGCGUUGUUCGGAGUUACUGGGCGUAAAGAGUGCGUAGGCGGUUUUCUAAGUUUGGUGUGAAAUCUCCCGGCUCAACUGGGAGGGUGCGCCGAAGACUGGAAGGCUUGAGUAUGGGAGAGGUAAGCGGAAUUCCUGGUGUAGCGGUGAAAUGCGUAGAUAUCUGGAGGAAUACCGGUGGCGAAGGCGGCAUCCUGGACCGACAUUGACGCUGAUGAGCGAAAGCUAGGGAGCAAG